rnacentral:misc_RNA from 1 species
UUUCCGUAGGUGAACCUGCGGAAGGAUCAUUCAUAAUAAGUGUUUUAUGGCACUUUUUUAAAUCCAUAUCCACCUUGUGUGCAAUGUCAGGGUCGAUUUUUCUCUCGAGAGGAUCGGCCCCAAACAUCAACUAUAUCUCAACUCUUUGUCUGAAAAAUAUUAUGAAUAAAACAAUUCAAAAUACAACUUUCAACAACGGAUCUCUUGGCUCUC